AUGAUUAUGAAAGGACUUCUGAUAACUUUAUCUUUUGUCAAGGUUGUUUACUUGGUGGAGCAAACUUCCAUUUCCUCUGAACAGGGGCGCUCUCCCUGCAACGGGACUACUUGGGCGUCUCCGACGGCAGCAUGCUUACUGAGGCUGAAGACUAGCACGGUUGAUGAGCUAAAGUGGCGGGUGGAGCUGGGCCGCAAGUCCAUGGCGCUCGUGUGGAAGGAGCUGGAGGAGGAGCGGAUCACGUUGGCGGUGGCGGCCGCCCAGGCCAUGGCCAUGAUCACCAAUCUGCAGGAGGAGAAGGUGGUGAUGCGGACGGAGGCGGCGCAAUAUCGAUUUGUCAUGGAGGAGCAGAGUGCGUAUGAUUGUGACGAGGCUGAGGGUCUGGCUGCUGAGAAGUGCUUUGUUUUGGGCAAGCCAAAAUACUUGAAAGAAAAAAGAGAAAAUACUCUUCCCAACCAAACAACCAGCUAUUUGUAA
rnacentral:rRNA from 1 species